AAGGUGGCAGAUCUAAUGCCUAGGUUUUAAGAACCUAUCAUACUAUUUAAGGUCCUU
rnacentral:tRNA from 1 species